rnacentral:lncRNA from 1 species
AGCUAAAUGCAGGGAGGCAGAGAAGACAGGAGAGAUGGAGGCUUGCAGGACCUGGUGGUUGGGGAGGGCCAGUGACCAGGUGUUUAGAAGCAGCACCUCCUGUGAUUGGGGCUGAGGGUGAACUCUGCUUUCAAGCAGAGGUGGUUUGUCGUGGGUCUUCCAUGAUGACACCAGGUCAAGGAAGCAGAAGUUUGCUUGGUAAACAUGGAAUCGGAACAUGGGAAUUGGGCCACUGGGAUAUUCAAUUGCGUCAGACCAUUGUAGCUGAUACUCCUGGACAGAGGGGCUUUGCCAACUGGACAGAUAUAUGAAGUGUUGCUGACCGAGCUCCUUGCUCUGUGUGGGAGGGAUCUUGCCAGCUCCAGCCUUGGUGGGUCUCCUUUUUCUGUUUCCAAGCUUAAAUAAGCACUUGGCUGUUCUGAUUAGCACUUUUAAAAGCUGUGUUAAUAAGUUCAAUUAAAAUAGAAGAAUCUCUCAUUCUGUCAUAUCGGGUUUUUUUAAUUGCAAACCAAUAAAACUUAAAUGAACUUGAGCAAAA